GGGGACUCAGUAGGGGAGAUUCACCAAGGGAGAGAAUGUGCUGUCCCUAUUGGACAUGGGUUUACACAACCUCCCUGGGCACCUCCUCUGGCCCAUUCAUCUGUCAUUUCUGCCAACGCCCAGGUCACCUCACAAAAGGCCUUACCUGGCAUAGGUGUGAUGUCAGAGCCCCACCUCCACCCAAGGACAUUCCUGACCCUUGAUCUAGUUUCCUUGGGAAGAGCAGACAUCCUUGGGACUGCAGGAGAUACCACAGGAGGAUGGAGAAUGUACCACCAGGAGCCAGAGACUUGUGAGAGGGCAGCUGAACCCAGAAGACCCCUGCUGCCUGUUGUUGAGUGGGAACUAUCCCUGGUGAGUGCCACUUUGGGCACCAAUGCCCGUGAGGAGUGCCAGCUCCAUCUCUGGUCUCUAGAAACUCAUCAGCACAGAUUGGAAAAGUGUUACAUGGCUGGAUAGAGUUGCAGGGGGACCAUCCAAACAGGCUUAUGAAACAAGAGUCAUUAACAAGAAAAGUCACCCAGAGUAUUCUUUGUCAAGAACUGGGUGGUACAGAACUGGCCCUGAAAAUGUUAAGAUCAAUUGACUGAGUGGGUCUCUCCUGGAAGACAGUGAGACCCCAUUACCCUAUCAGGGAUGGAGCAGGGGCCCUGGGGCAUGCUAACCUGCAAAUGUUUGAAACAUUUAAAGGAAGAGAGGAAGCAAGAGUGAAUUGGCCCCCCAGAAAUGUUAGUGCAAAGACUGGCAAACUACAGUUCACAGGGCACACCUAGGCUCUUCAUGGCUUUAUAAAUAAAGUUUUAUUGGAACAUUGUAAUGGUCAUUCAUUUAUUGUCAAUGGCCACUUCAACAAUGGAAGAGACUGUUGUAUGGGCCACCAAGCCAUAUUUACUCUCUAGCUUUUUACAGAAAAGUUUGCCCAGCCCUGCUCUAGAGAAAGAAUACAGUGCCAUAAAACUUCACUCUUUUAAAGGGCCCAUAAGCCCUGUCUUCCCUUCUAUUUUCUCCUGUGGUCCUGCCUCCUACUGCCACAAAUUCCCAGUUGUGUUUGAACCAGCAUAGAAUAUCCCCUGCUGCAGAUAAGGCAGGAGCACUUAUAACUGGUUUUAGAUGUUAAUGGGAGUCAUCCACCUCCCUCCAUUUCCCUGGCAGACUUAUCUCCCUAAUUGUGCAUGACUUUGGCCAAGGCUGAGUGGCACCCACACUCCCAGAGCACCCCAUCCCACUGACUGCAGAGUUGGGGGAGGCAGUGUAAACCCCAUCAAGGGGCCUGAAUGACAAAGG
rnacentral:lncRNA from 1 species